CCUACGGUGUGCUGCAGUGGGGGAUAUUGCACAAUGGGGGAAACCCUGAUGCAGCGACGCCGCGUGUGGGAAGACGGUCUUCUGGAUUGUAAACCACUGUCCCCAGGGACGAAAAUGACGGUACCUGGGGAGGAAGCUCCGGCUAACUACGUGCCAGCAGCCGCGGUAAUACGUAGGGAGCAAGCGUUGUCCGGAAUUACUGGGUGUAAAGGGAGCGUAGGCGGGGAUGCAAGUUGGGUGUCAAAACUACCGGCUCAACCGAUAGUCGCACUCAAAACUGCAGCUCUUGAGUGAAGUAGAGGCAGGCGGAAUUCCUAGUGUAGCGGUGAAAUGCGUAGAUAUUAGGAGGAACACCAGUGGCGAAGGCGGCCUGCUGGGCUUUUACUGACGCUGAGGCUCGAAAGUGUGGGGAGCAAACAGGAUUAGAUACCCCUGUAGUC
rnacentral:rRNA from 1 species